GAUGAACGCUGGCGGCGUGCCUAAUACAUGCAAGUCGAGCGAACAGACGAGGAGCUUGCUCCUCUGACGUUAGCGGCGGACGUGAGCGUAACACGUGGAUAACCUACCUAUAAGACUGGGAUAACUUCGGGAAACCGGAGCUAAUCCCGUAUAAUAUAUUGAACCGCAUUGUUCAAUAGUGAAAGACGGUUUUGCCGUAACUUAUAGAUGGAUCCACGCCGCAUUAGCUAGUUGGUAAGGUAACGGCUUACCAAGGCAACGAAGUAUAGCCGACCUAAGAGGGAGAGCAGCGACGAGGGCACUGAGACUCAGUCGAGACUCCUACGGGAGGACGCAGCAGAGAAUCGUCAGCAACGGGCGAUAGCCUGACGGAGCAACACGGCGUGAGUGAUGAAAGUCUUCGGAUCGUGAUACUGUGUUAUUAGGAAAGAACAAAUGUUUAAGUAACUAUGCACGACUUGACGGUACCUGAUCAGAAAGCCACGGAUAAAUACGUG
rnacentral:rRNA from 1 species